GAAUAUAUUACAUUACAAAAUUAAACCUAAAUCACUAUAAUUAUGGUUUUAAAAUAAAAGGAAAUGAGGCCGGAUGUUAGAGCUGCCAGGUAUGACAAUGCAAACAGUGUUAAUUAUGGUUUUAAAUGUUAUCAGUAUUAGGAAACAAAGUUAUGUAAUGGCAAAAUUUUUUUUAUGUACCAUCUGAAAAUGUUCUUUCUUUUGAAUAGGAAAUGUUCUCAUGACUCAAAAAUCAGUGGAAAAAGGUACAGGAUGAGAAGCCUUGUUUCCCAACCCUAUCAACAGAAACAAGAUCUUGCUCUGUUGACCAAGCUGGAGUGCAGUGGUGCAAUCAUAGCUCAUGGCAGCCUUAAACUCCUGAGCUCAAGCCAUCCUCCCACCUCACCCUUCCAAGUACAGGUGAGCACCACCAUGCCUGGCUAAUUAAAAAAAAAUUGUUUUUUGUAGACAGGGUCUUGCUAUAUUGCCCAGGCUGGUCUCAAACUCCUGGGUUCAAGCAAUCCUCCUGCCUGGGCCUCCCUAAGUACUGGGAUUACUGGUAUGAGCCACCAUGCUUGGUCAUACUUCUACUCUUCAGCAAUCUACUAUUUUUCUUUUCUUUUCUUUUUUUUUUUUUUUGAGACAGGGUCUCAC
rnacentral:lncRNA from 1 species